AAUAUACAGAAAGAAAGGAUAGGCACGUAGUAGCAUUUUUCACGCGUACGUACGUCGCUGGAUCGAAUUUUCAGUUUGAUAAUCGCCGGUGUGACAUCAUUAUUCCUUUGUCAGAUUAUAGUCUAGUGACUUUUAUAGUAGCUUCAAGUGCCCGAAGCGUCAAUGACGGAAAACUUGAUAGAGUUUGUUGGUUGGCAUUUAUCCCAUCGGAUACAGACUGCGAAUAAUAACCUGAGUAACGUGUGUAUUAUCAGUUGGUUUCUCACCAUUGGAUGUAUAUUUUUCGUUAUUUUUCACGAAUCCACAAGUGCUCUAUAAAUACAUUUCGAAAUUUACUUUAUUUCUUUUCCUACUCAUUGGUUUCAUACGCAACGUACACAAAGGAUGUAACGGCGGUCGAUCAGUCUAAUGAGGAAUCUAUGAUAAACAGAUAAUCUCAACGGGUACGUAACCCUGAAGGGCAUACGUGAUGAAGAUGGCUAUAGCGAACAUUAUGUUAAUGCUCUGUGCCAUCCUGCCAAAGGGUACAGAGAUGAGACAUGAAAAAAGGAUGGAAAAUAUAAAUUUUCAAAAAGUAAUCUACAGCUGAACAUUGAAACAGGUAGAUUCAGCGUGAUGCUACCGAGAGACCCAUCGCCGUAUUUGACGUAUCCAAAAAAUCCAACGAGAAUGUACAAAGCGACAAUCACAAACAUACCGAUGUUCAGGACGCCGCAGUAACCCCCAAAAUUUUGGGGCGUU